ACUGACUGACUCGCGCCUGGUCAACGAAAUUGGCAAAAACGCCGUCCUUUUUAAAGGUGGUUGCGGUCACACAGCCAUCGGCGAUACUGA
rnacentral:sRNA from 1 species